rnacentral:rRNA from 1 species
CCUACGGGGGGCAGCAGUGGGGAAUAUUGGACAAUGGGGGGAACCCUGAUCCAGCCAUGCCGCGUGUGUGAAGAAGGCCCUCGGGUUGUAAAGCACUUUCAGUGAGGAAGAACGCCUGGUGGUUAAUACCCAUCAGGAAAGACAUCACUCACAGAAGAAGCACCGGCUAACUCCGUGCCAGCAGCCGCGGUAAUACGGAGGGUGCGAGCGUUAAUCGGAAUUACUGGGCGUAAAGCGCGCGUAGGUGGCUUGAUAAGCCGGUUGUGAAAGCCCCGGGCUCAACCUGGGAACGGCAUCCGGAACUGUCAAGCUAGAGUGCAGGAGAGGAAGGUAGAAUUCCCGGUGUAGCGGUGAAAUGCGUAGAGAUCGGGAGGAAUACCAGUGGCGAAGGCGGCCUUCCGGACUGACACUGACACUGAGGUGCGAAAGCGUGGGUAGCAAACAGGAUUAGAUACCCCUGUAGUC